GAGAAACUGAAGAGGGGAAACACCUGAGGGGCUCUGUCCAUCUGAAGAGAGGUUUCUAAGAUAAAAUGGCUUCUACGAUGUGAUUUGCUUUUGGAACCAUCUCUUUCCAGUGACUACAGACAGCUCAGAUGGUUAACAAUAAGUGCCAUUUAAAUGGUUAAGUGGAUAAAUCCAAUGAUUGUUAUGAAAAUUCUCUGUUCUGGGAAAGUUGAAAUACACGAAAUCAUUUCAUUUAAACUUCCUAAGAGACUGUGAAUUCUGAGCAAAAUCAAACCGUGGCGUUUGCUUGAGAUGGUUCAUGGAAAUUCUUUUGCAGCAUAACAUGAGCUUUACCUGGUCCAGUUUUUGAGACUAAGUAUGAAUCAUAAUGGGGAAUAAAGGCAGGAAAUAACCAGGGGUGUUGUCAGCUGCCUGCAUUGCGUUCGUCACUGUCAUGGCUGGCAGUGUAACAGAUAAGUGGAUGGAUUCAAGGCCACCCAGGGAAUGGAGCCUGACAGGACCUCAUUCAUCACUUCCAUUUCGGAGGUCUCUGUGGAAGAGCUGGCAUCAAAGAAGACUGGCACUCUCAGGGACAAGUCAUCCCCCAUUCCUGGGGAGUGGAAAGAUUCUUCAGUGCAGGGAAGAGUGUGCUCCUGACCGGACUUCCAAGAGUAUCUGACCCGUUUCCCAGAGACCCAGCUUUUUUGCCUUCUUUCAGCUGCUCUUCCUGAGACCAAGUUAGAAGUUGGGAGUGGGAAAUCCUUCACUGCCUAAAGUCCAGGAGGAGCCCUGCACCAUCUCUCUCUCACCUCACCCAGCAGACUGUGAAAUCAUGAGGUUGUGGAAGUGUGUGUACAGUGGGAUCAGAUCUGGAGCACAGCCAGCCACCAACACAAAAAUGAGAGGCAAUAUCUGAACCUAUACUUCACAAAAAUAUUUCUGGUCUUGCAAAACACAUGGAGGCACUUACUAUUUUAAAUCUCUGCCUACAGCAAGAGUGUAAGAGACCCCAUGUGUCACCUGAGGCAAACCCCUGCUAGGUCAAGGGACUGCCACCCUGGGGCAUACUCUCGAUCACAAGACUGGAGAGGUGCCUGCCUAAAAUGAACUGGGGUGGAUGGUAGAACCAGAGCAGCCACAGAAGCAUGGAUAUCCCAGAUGAGAAGAUGCCCGUGCCUGUCCCCGUUCAAGUGGUCUGAGGCAUUUCUGUUGUGUAGGAUGGUGUCAGCCUCUAGAGGAUAAAAAUAUCUUUCGGACGAACAGAAAAGUAACCAAAAUGAAUACAUCAAAGAGCCCCAAAUGUGAGCAAAUUUCUACAAUUCUGGAUUUGAAGAGGAGUUGGGUAGCAGAAAUGGCAUGCAGGGGCAGAUUCUGGACCUGAAGCUGAUGGGCUCUGCCACAAGUAAUCACACAGAUACAGGUUUUUCUUCUGCACUGAUGAUGCUGGGGUUGUGCUGAUGCCUGCCUGCCUGCCUGCCUGCCUGCCAUUUUGGUGCUAUUUCUUGCAGUCUGUACAGCAAUGCUUUGGGUAUGACUGGCUCUCUUCGUAUCUGAACAGGAACAAAGCCAUAUAUUCCCUAGGCUCUGUUAAAAUUCAGAGACCAGCCUGUGAACUGGUUAGAGAGGAAGGAGCCAAAAGUCCUUUCAUCUACUCUUGCAUACUCCCCGAUGAGCUGAAAUAUGCAGUUUACUAUGCACCUGGAUGUUUAUUUUCAAGGAGAAAAACAAACUAAUACAUAUUUAUUUUUGUUCCCACAGUAUUAUUUUUUACUUUCAGGCUAUAUUUGCUGAACAAAAUAGUUGCAGGUUUCCUUUUAACCUAAUAAACUUUUGUACUGUUGCACCUCAUUAUAUAUUUUGUGGCAUUGGGUUUUGAAUCUGCUGCUUCAAUUACAGAAACUGCCAACAGACGUGAAAAUCCAGAAGACAGAGGCUGAAGCGUUCCUGCCUUUUAGCUUUGGAAUUACUUUUGCAUACUCUGACAGUUUUCCCUUAUAAACGAGGUUGGUGAUAGCUACAGCUAUGGAAUGCAAGAAAACUGAUGCAAACUUUGCCACCAGAAUUAAGAAGAGAACAUUUUUUUCAAACCAGAAGUUGGCGCAAUUCCUGUUUUUCUGUCUUCACCUUCCUCCCUGCUCUCCCAGGUCUGUUACUUAUUAUCAGAAGUGGGGAAGAGGAAGUAUAUGCAAGGUCACAUAAGAGGAAAUACAAAUGUGUGUGUGUUUUGCCCUGAGGAGUUGCAGCUUCCCUUCUGAAAAGACAUAGUAGGAUUUUGUGUCGUUUCAGUUUAUUGUACUCAGAAAAGGAUAAGAGUUGAUGUAAAAGGUUUUACCCUUGGUGUAUGUAAGGCUAGGAAUUUUAGUCUUGGCCUUUAGCCUAAGUGAUUGAAAAUGCAUUUGUAUUAUUUGUUUAACUGACCAGAAAAUGCACCGAGUGGAUGAUGCAUUGGACUGUGUAGAGUGGGAAGAUAAAUUCGUUUUCAGAUUAAAAAAGGUGGAUUCGCUUAUGAGGAGAUCCUGAAGUUUAAAGAGAUGUUUUCUGUAUAUGUGGAUAGGUUAGGCUGAGGUAGGAUAAUCUCAACAGAGAAAAUUGAAACGGUGUGUAAAAGCUCUCCAAAAUCUUGGAGAGACUCACCAAUCACUGUGUUGGUACUGUGUUGGUGCAUUGGUUCCCAAAUACCCAGUUGCAUGUGUGUCAUGCAGAAGACUGGAGACUCGGAACUCAUCCAGAAAAACAGGACUGGAGGAGAUUAAAAGAGAGUUAGGAAGACAAAUGGUUUCUCAGAGCAUCAUUUCUCAUUUCCAGGUCUCUGACAGAGCAAUUGUCAAGAGUCUGGACUCCUAUUUUGUCACCCAGUGUGUUCAGAAUAACUUUUGUCUUGGGAAGUAAUAUUAGAAAUAUAAAGCCAAACACAUUCUGUUAAGUAAAAUUAUUUACUACUUUGACCUUUCAGUCCUUUGUGCCGUGGUUCACAAAGGUAUCCUCCAUUCUUUACAGCUUACCCAGGCUGUCUGUACAAGGAGGACAGUCCAUCAAAGCUACUCUUUUCCAGCAUCAGGAUCUGUUGGCACUUUUUUGGUGUUUUGACUGUUAGUGCCUCUUCUGCUUUUUUUUGUGGUGAUAAAGGAGCAGUGAAGCCUUUUCCAUUUGAAAAAGAACCUGCUGAGCUUAGGGCACACCCCUUAUUUGCCAUUACCAAGAGAAUGACCCUUGCAAGCCAGCUGCUCUAAUUGUGUGCUCGCAGCCCAGGCAAAAAAUGCUCUGAGAAUUUACGUUUUUUAAGAGUUGGUAUUGAUAAUGAGGCAUAUUAAAAAAUUCAAAUUAUCUUUUAUUAAUGAGUAAGGAUGGUGCCUAUAGAAGAAUCACAGGGAAGAUGAAACAGUGAAGGGCAUGGAUAGUUUAUGAUGGAGCUACAAGGAUCUACAUGCUAUGAGUGUCAAGGUCUGAACCCAGGAUUUUAGUCCUAAUUCACUAACCUUUCACCCUGGUAGCUCAGUUUCCUUAGAUAAUGAGGCCACUGGAUGGAGAGGAAGAAGUCUGCCACAUGUGGUUUAAGUUAGUGUGGUUGAGUCUGCACUGGAAUAGAUAUGGCUGCCUCCAGACUAUGUUAAGAAAUGGCAGGUGCCCUGGUAAUGGCUCACUGAGGUUUCUGUUUGACUGUGCACUAGUGCAGAUGCACAAGUGUUAUAGUUGGAAACAACUACAUUAUACACUUCACUCAUAAGAGAGAAACAGAAAUGUAUUUACUGAUUCAAUAUAGAUAUAAUGUAGUGAUUUGACAGUGACUUAACAAGAUUUGAGAUGGCUGUAUGCACUUGAUUAUUUACUGCAUAGAUGUUAGGGUUAAAAACACGCAUACAGGAGACCCUCCCGUUGAGUCACAAUGUUCAAAGUGGAACCCCUUGCUUUCUAAAAUCCUUGAACCAAAGAGGGAAGGAGCUUAAGUGCAGCUGGAUCCACUCUUAGUCCCAGGCUUGGUCAAUAGUUUAUGCCUAAGGGACUGUAUGUGCACAAUCAAUCUAAAAUGUGAUUUUGGCAAAGCUAACAAAGCUUACACAGUGAACCUAAGAUAUAAUCUUAAUGAAGCUAGCUAGACUUAAAAGAAACUAUUAGUCACACACCCAGGAUCUGCAUUGGCAAGGCGUCUUGUUAUCAAGGUGUAAGGGAUCUCUGCAUGACCUCGAGAGGCAUCCCUACGUGAUGUGAGACUCUAUCUUGCAGCCCCACCGUUGUGCAGGAGAGCUCAAGGAGCUCUUGGACUGCUCAUUAUUUAUGGAGUAAGAUAAAUGUAUUCACAGUCAUACUUUGUUUUUAGGGGUCUUAGCUGUUGAACCAGGUGUCUGCUAUCAGUUCUUUCAUUCUCCCAGUGUGAGACUUGUGGUUGUUAAUCUGUGAGAGUGCUAUCAGUACUGUUGCUCACUGUCUUCCUGUGCAAGACUGGGCUGGAGGAGGAAGUUGGGAGAAAAAAGUCAAGGAGUGAACAUCAUCACAAUGAGUCUGGCUUAGAGCUGGUUGGUCAAUUCCUCCUGAAAUGAGCAACGCUGAAAUAGCCUGAGGGGCAAGCAGGACAAUAAAAUAGCCCUGAGAUAAGCUAUUUGUUUGCUUGAUAGAGGUUUAAUAAGCUAUCUGCAGUCACGAUGGAUGCUGAAAUCAAAGAAUGAAUGAGACUUUGUUCACGGGGAUUCGUUCUUUGCCUUGGGAGGUGGCAUUGAAAAGUAUGGAAAAAUAAGAGAAAUUUCUGAAUAGCUCUCCUUCGGCUCAGAAUUUAUAGAGUGUACUUAAAGUGAGAGAAAAGGUGAGAAAUGAAAAAGGAAAAUGAAAGUAAAGGAGCAACAAAUGGCGAAAUACCCCAGGCAUACCAGACUUGUUACUGUAGUGUAUGAGGAUGUGUCCUUAAAUCUAUGUGGUUUUCAGAGAGCCAAAUUGGGAUACUGUACUUUCCCUAGAUUCUCUGAAGGAAUUUAAUAAACUGAAGUUAAUUAUUAGUAAAUUAUAUCUUCAAAUGAUUGUCUCGAUCUCUCUGCUUAGACUAUCUUCUUGUCAAAUAAAUAUUUAUUUCAACUUUUUAAAAUUAAGAGUAAAGAAGUCUGCAUUAUGUAACCUAGACAAAAAUUGAUACAGGAGGAGGCCAAACUUCCCCCCGCUUAAGUUUCUGUGAUACUUAAGUAUUCAUGUGAUUUACAGUAGAGCAUUGUUCAGUACCUUCUUCUAGUCCUACCUGGAUGGGCAGUACUUCUGAAGAGUAUAUUGUGAAUGUGGAAAAGAGGAACUCCACUUUCAAAGAAGAAACAGAAGCUGACCUCAGCACUAAGAUGCUCUUCUCUAUUGAAAUGUAGGAAUAAUAUAUGGAGCAGCACUAGUACAAACUGCUGAACUGCCUUGGCAGCACUCCAAACGACUGCUCUUUCUGAUGGAGUUUUUAAUACUUCAAGAAGACAUAGUGUGCACAUUUAGAUG
ensembl:lncRNA